AACGAACGCUGGCGGCAGGCCUAACACAUGCAAGUCGAGCGAGGACUUCGGUCCUAGCGGCGGACGGGUGAGUAACGCGUGGGAACGUGCCCUUUGCUUCGGAAUAGCCCUGGGAAACUGGGAGUAAUACCGGAUGAGCCCUUUGGGGGAAAGAUUUAUCGGCGAAGGAUCGGCCCGCGUUGGAUUAGGCAGUUGGUGGGGUAAUGGCCUACCAAGCCGACGAUCCAUAGCUGGUUUGAGAGGAUGAGCAGCCACACUGGGACUGAGACACGGCCCAGACUCCUACGGGAGGCAGCAGUGGGGAAUCUUAGACAAUGGGGGAAACCCUGAUCGAGCCAGGCCGCGUGAGCGAUGAAGGCCUUAGGGUUGUAAAGCUCUUUCAGCUGGGAAGAUAAUGACGGUACCAGCAGAAGAAGCCCCGGCUAACUCCGUG
rnacentral:rRNA from 1 species